CCUACGGGUGGCUGCAGUGAGGAAUAUUGGUCAAUGGGCGAGAGCCUGAACCAGCCAUGCCGCGUGCAGGAAGACGGCCCUACGGGUUGUAAACUGCUUUUGUUUGGGAAGAAAAGGCGCUACGUGUAGUGCACUGACGGUACCAGAUGAAUAAGCAUCGGCUAACUCCGUGCCAGCAGCCGCGGUAAUACGGAGGAUGCGGGAUUUAUUCGGUUUUAUUAGGGUUAAGGGGGAAGGCGAAGGCAGUGUUGAAAUCCCCCAGCUUAACUGGGGAACUGCCAGUGAUACUGGUUUUCUUGAGUACAGUUGAAGUAGGCGGAAUGUGUAAUGUAGCGGUGAAAUGCUUAGAUAUUACACAGAACACCGAUUGCGAAGGCAGCUUGCUAAGCUGUUACUGACGCUGAUGCACGAAAGCGUGGGGAGCGAACAGGAUUAGAUACCCCAGUAGUC
rnacentral:rRNA from 1 species